AAAAGGGGCUGGAGAGCCUGCCCUUGGUUCUUCUUUUGUUUGGUGCUUUCUUCUACAAGCCUGGAGGUGACGGGGAAGAAUCCUCAUGACUGUGUGGUGAACCAGGGCUGGAGAGAAGACGGGGCUUCCCGCAGAUCAGUUGCAGAGGCUUGUUGGAUUGUCUGGCUCACAGGAAGUGAAAUAGAAGCUGAAACAGGUGACCCAGGAAGCACUGAAUCACAAGCUACUCACCAGCAGUGGCUGAGAUUUUCAGCAGGGACAGCACCCAUUGGAGAGCACACAGCACAGCCAGACUGACUGCAGGGACAGCACCCAUUGGAGAGCACACAGUACAGCCAGACUGACUGCAGGGACAGCACCCAUUGGAGAGCACACAGCACAGCCAGACUGACUGCAGGGACAGCACCCAUUGGAGAGCACACAGCACAGCCAGGCUGACUGCAGGGACAGCACCCAUUGAAGAGCACACAGCACCCAUUGGAGAGCACACAGCACAGCCAGGCUGACUGCAGGGACAGCACCCAUUGAAGAGCACACAGCACAGCCAGGCUGACUGCAGGGACAGCACCCAUUGGAGAGCACACAGCACA